rnacentral:tRNA from 1 species
GGAGGGUUGCCAGAACGGUAAUGGGACGGUUUGCUAAACCGUGACGGGCUUAAUGCCUGUCAGUGGGUUCGACUCCCACACCCUCCG